rnacentral:rRNA from 1 species
UACAGAGGGGGCAAGCGUUGUUCGGAAUUACUGGGCGUAAAGGGCGCGUAGGCGGCCUGCUAAGUCGAACGUGAAAUCCCUGGGCUCAACCCAGGAACUGCGUCCGAUACUGGUUGGCUUGAAUCCGGGAGAGGGAUGCGGAAUUCCAGGUGUAGCGGUGAAAUGCGUAGAUAUCUGGAGGAACACCGGUGGCGAAGGCGGCAUCCUGGACCGGCAUUGACGCUGAGGCGCGAAAGCCAGGGGAGCCAAAG